UACGUAGGGACCGAGCGUUGUCCGGAUUUAUUGGGCGUAAAGAGCGUGUAGGCGGCCAGGUAGGUCAGCUGUGAAAACUCGAGGCUCAACCUCGAGACGCCGGUUGAAACCAUCUGGCUAGAGUCCGGAAGAGGAGAGUGGAAUUCCUGGUGUAGCGGUGAAAUGCGCAGAUAUCAGGAAGAACACCCGUGGCUAAGGCGGCUCUCUAGUACGGUACUGACGCUGAGACGCGAAAGCGUGGGGAGCGAACAGG
rnacentral:rRNA from 1 species